CGACCCCAGGUCAGGCGGGACUACCCGCUGAGUUUAAGCAUAUAAAUAAGCGGAGGAGAAGAAACUUACAAGGAUUCCCCUAGUAACGGCGAGCGAACCGGGAACAGCCCAGCUUGAGAAUCGGGCGGCUGUGCCGUCCGA
rnacentral:rRNA from 1 species